UCUGUGGUGACCAUUGUCAUGUGGAAAUCUUUUUUCAAGGUUUCAGUGGACUUUAUCAUGGAAACUAUAUGCUAGCAUGUAUUAAAAACAGCCCAGUUGGUAAAUUGCUUGCCUUGCAAGCAGGAGUACUUGAGCUGGAUAUUUAGGACCGUAUAAAGUAAGGUAGGCCCAAUGGACCAUGCUUAUCAUCCCAUCGAGUACUAGAGAAGGGGACAUGGGUAGCCUCCCUGCAUUUGUGAAGAUGAAGGCUUACAAGCCAUCUCAUUGUAAAGACAAACCAGGCUCAUUCCUGUUUAUGGUUAAAACCUCUGUCUCUCAAGGAUUGGGCUGUGCCCCACCUGUAAUGCUAACUACAAAUGGUUCUGUACUGCCUGUUCCUGGAAUGGCGAUCAUGUCUGUUUCAAAAACUUGUGUUCUAAUCAUCUGGCAACCCAACUUUUGUUUCAAAAGGCUAUUAUGUCCACCUAUGACUGUCCUGUUAUGACUACCUGCUGUUAUGACUACCUGUUGUUAUGACUACCUAUUGUUAUGACUACCUUGUUAUCUUCUCCUCACAACCAUGUCUUUGGUUUAGGUGACCAUUAGAACAA
rnacentral:lncRNA from 1 species